CCCUUAGAUGUUCUGGGCAGCACGCGCGCUACAAUGGUCUUCGCAAACGGAUGCAUUCUCGAAGGAGAAUGCCAAUCUUGGAAUCUAUGCCUUGGUCGGGACAGUUGCUUGCAAUUUUUCGACCCGAACCAGGAAUUCCUUGUAAUCGUGAUUCAUCACAUCACGAUGAAUACGUCCCUGCCCUUUGUACACACCGCCCGUCGCUCCUACCGAUCGAAGAGUUAGGUGAAUUGUUUUGAUCGAUAAGAUUUGACUAUGGUCAACUCUCGUUGUGAAAUUCCGUGAAUCUGACUGUUUAGAGGAAGGAAAAGUCGUAACA
rnacentral:rRNA from 1 species